GACCCGAUAGCACAGUUGGUUAGUGCGGUCGACGGGAUCAUUAACCAAAUCUGCCAAACGUCUCUUCGUCGGAGAUCCUUGUUCGAACCGGGGUUGGGUCA